UUUCUAUUUCUGUGCCUCACCAAUGCCGGGACUCUCGGGUAGAAUUUCUUUCUUUGAGAAAGCUGAGGCGAUCAAAACCCUGAUUAACCUCUGAUAUUCACGUGGUGCUCUUGAUCUUGAGGACCGAAGCAGUAACAAAGAGUUAAUGGCAGCCAUAUGCUCAGGGUUUGGCGUGGAGAUUACUGAUGAAGAGUUUGAGCUGCUACUUGACAGAAUCCCCCUUGAUGAAGAUGGAAAUGUCAGAUACCCCCAGUUCAUGGCCAGGUUUGAUUCCUGAGGGCCGUGUGGAAUCGUCCUAAUCCGGGAAGAGCCACUGCCUCCCUGUGUGAUCUGACACAGUGACAUAUCACUUGACCUCGGUCGCGGCAGCUGUACAGCGAGGUGGAAAAGGCGGCUGACGGACAAGCAGGGGAUGCCUUUCAGCACAGCUUCCUCGGGAUACAGUUGAGAAGAAUGUAUGCUAUAUGGAAGAACACGCAGAAGUUGUGAGCAACCACACGGUCUGAAUGUUAAGGGUUCAUCCAUCUUCCUGCACAAGAAUGCCUUUAUCUGGAAAAGACAAACAUCCCAGGAGUCUGUAAGAAGUAAGAAGUAAGCUGUUGCAGCUUGAAUUUGUGAGAGGACUUCUGUGGAGCCUGAACCACCUCCCUCCAUCUCAAAGGAGACCGAGCCUUCCCUCUUUCUUAAAGCAAGGCACCCUGGCAGCCUGCAUAGUAAGAUUGUAGCUCAGCAAGCUCCUGCUUGCAGCAUGUCCCAGCAGGCUGCAGAAGGGGAACGUGGAAAGGCAGACCCACUCCAAGGCUUUUGACUUGCCACACCUUUCCGAGAGGAUGACAUCUCAGAGGCUCUGUGUCUGUCCCAGAUUGUGACUGUUUUCUUCUGAAGAGCAAACGUGAGAUUCAAAGAGCGCCUGGCAAAAGCUGCUUCUAGUACUGCAGCAGCAGCAUGGGAAAUAUUUCAUGUAUGUAGAAGAUAGAGCAUCUGUGUAGGCGGUUGUUUUCUGCAACUCUCUGUGAGUUUGGGGAGAAGUUAUUAAGUACUGCUUCUCCUUCUUUCUUUAAAAAAGGACAGAGAGAGAAAGCCUGCAUUUUCUACCAUUUCCCAAGAGGCUUUUUAUCUGUUUAAACCAACUAGGGAUUUUUCACAUAUUGACAUAAGCAUUCAUUUGCUAAUUUGCUGGACAUUAAACUGCACAGCAUUCUUGAAUGAGGCUGGAAUACUUGGGUACUUAGUGCUGCUCAGACCCCGCAUCAUUCCCAGUACACAUAUGGUUUUCCUCCUCUAUCUCCUAGAUAAAAGUCACUGUUUGAUCGCCUUAAGGGAAAGAAUGAGUUAAAUGGACCAAUAUUUUAGCCUUGGCUCUAAAACUGGGCCUUUUCAGAAACUCCUCAGCACCUGCAGCAGCUAGGUCAUUUGCACAUACAUAAAUAAAUAAAUUAACAAUGAAUAAAUAAUUUAAUCCCGCCACACAAUGCCACCUUGCAGAUCUGAUCCUUUGCUCCCAGUGAAUUUGUCCAUUCCUAAUUCUUUUUGAUAAAGUCUUCAGAUACUUGCUGAC
ensembl:lncRNA